CCUACGGGAGGCAGCAGUGGGGAAUAUUGCGCAAUGGGCGAAAGCCUGACGCAGCGACGCCGCGUGAGGGAUGAAGGUCUUCGGAUCGUAAACCUCUGUCAGCAGGGAAGAACGGUCACUGUGCUAAGCAGCAGUGAAUUGACGGUACCUGCAAAGGAAGCACCGGCUAACACCGUGCCAGCAGCCGCGGUAAUACGGGGGGUGCGAGCGUGAGUCGGAAUUAAUGGGCGUAAAGCGCUCGUAGGCGGUAUGUCAAGUCAAGGGUGAAAUCGCAGCGCUCAAGGUGGGAACUGCCUUUGACACUGGCAAACUGGAGUGUGUGAGAGGAUAGUGGAAUUCCAGGUGUAGGAGUGAAAUCCGUAGAUAUCUGGAGGAACAUCAGUGGCGAAGGCGACUAUCUGGCACAUAACUGACGCUGAGGAGCGAAAGCGUGGGUAGCAAACAGGAUUAGAUACCACUGUAGUC
rnacentral:rRNA from 1 species